rnacentral:rRNA from 1 species
GUGGGGAAUUUUGGACAAUGGGCGAAAGCCUGAUCCAGCAAUGCCGCGUGCAGGAUGAAGGCCCUCGGGUUGUAAACUGCUUUUGUACGGAACGAAAAGCCUGGGGCUAAUAUCCCCGGGUCAUGACGGUACCGUAAGAAUAAGCACCGGCUAACUACGUGCCAGCAGCCGCGGUAAUACGUAGGGUGCAAGCGUUAAUCGGAAUUACUGGGCGUAAAGCGUGCGCAGGCGGUUAUGUAAGACAGAGGUGAAAUCCCCGGGCUCAACCUGGGAACUGCCUUUGUGACUGCAUAGCUGGAGUGCGACAGAGGGGGAUGGAAUUCCGCGUGUAGCAGUGAAAUGCGUAGAUAUGCGGAGGAACACCGAUGGCGAAGGCAAUCCCCUGGGCCUGCACUGACGCUCAUGCACGAAAGCGUGGGGAGCAAACAGGAUUAGAAACCCUGGUAGUCC